UUUAUUGGAGAGUUUGAUCCUGGCUCAGGAUGAACGCUGGCGGCGUGCCUAAUACAUGCAAGUCGAGCGAAUGGAUUAAGAGCUUGCUCUUAUGAAGUUAGCGGCGGACGGGUGAGUAACACGUGGGUAACCUGCCCAUAAGACUGGGAUAACUCCGGGAAACCGGGGCUAAUACCGGAUAAUAUUUUGGACCGCAUGG
rnacentral:rRNA from 1 species